ACGCGGCUCUACGUCCGAUUCCGCCGGCGCGCGGGCCUCGAGGCCACCUACACGGAGAUUUGCGAUGGAUUGUUCGUGGGGCGUGGCCAUUCCAGCGCGAUCACAUCCCUCCGGGCAGUCCCGCGGUCGUGGAUUGCACCAACGAGCUACCCAGGACGGUGGGAUUGGAGCUUCCCUAUGUGUGCAUCCCGGCCUGGGAUACCAGAUCGCCAUCGCCGGAGGGCAUCGAGCUAGCCGUGCGCUGGGCUCUCGUCAAGCGCUCCCAGAACCAUCCCAUUCUCAUCCACUGUGCCAAAGGUCAUGGGCGUAGUGUGGCUGUUACGUGCGCGCUGCUGGUGGCAUUGGGCGUGGUGGGCGACUGGAAGGAAGGCGAGAGCCUGAUCAAGAGACAUCGCCCACGGAUCCGUCUCAAUGCAGCGCAAAGGAAAUCUCUUCAAGAAUGGCAGCUUCGGCGGUAUUGAUAUGUUAGCAGAUGGUCUUCGUAUUUGUUGAUACUGAACCUUGAAACCGAGCUAAUGUGUUUUCUCCUCGUGAAAUAUACUUCUCUUAGUACUGAUUUUAGA